GGAUGUGGACAACCCCCCCCAAAA
rnacentral:tRNA from 1 species